GACGAACGCUGGCGGCGUGCUUAACACAUGCAAGUCGAGCGGAGCGGCGAACGGGUGAGUAACGCGUGAGUAACUGCCCCCCUCUCUGGGAUAACAGUUGGAAACGGCUGCUAAUACCGGAUAGUGGGGGAUGACUCGGGUCCUAUCAGCUUGUUGGUGGGGUAGUGGCCUACCAAGGCGACGACGGGUAGCCGGCCUGGGAGGGCGACCGGCCACAGUAGGCUGAGAUACGGCCCGAACUCCUACGGGAGGCAGGGGUGGGGAGUAUUGCACAGUGGGGGAAGCCCUGAUGCAGCGACGCCGGGUGCGGGAUGACGGCCUUCGGGGUGGAAAGGGCUUUCAGCCAAGACGCGGUAGUGGCAGAAGAAGCACCGGCUAACUACGUGCCAGCAGCCGCGGUAAUAC
rnacentral:rRNA from 1 species